rnacentral:rRNA from 1 species
CCUACGGGAGGCUGCAGUGGGGAAUAUUGCACAAUGGGGGAAACCCUGAUGCAGCGACGCCGCGUGAGCGAUGAAGUAUUUCGGUAUGUAAAGCUCUAUCAGCAGGGAAGAAAAUGACGGUACCUGACUAAGAAGCCCCGGCUAACUACGUGCCAGCCGCCGCGGUAAUACGUAGGGGGCACGCGUUAUCCUGAUUUACUGGGGGUAAAGGGAGCGUAGACGGUCCUGCAAGCCCGAGUUGAAAGCCCGGGGCUCAACCCCGGGACUGCAUUUGGAACUGUAAGGCUAGAGUGUCGGAGAGGCAGGCGGAAGUCCUAGUGUUGGCGUGAAAUGCGUAGAUAUUAGGAGGAACACCAGUGGCGAAGGCGGCCUGCUGGACGAUGACUUACGUUGGGGCUCGAAAGCGUGGGGAGCAAACAGGAUUAGAUACCCCAGUAGUC